rnacentral:lncRNA from 1 species
GAUGCAGGCUGGCCAAGGUGGGAAAGAAAGGUGGGAAAGCUUUGAAGAGGCCUGAGCAAUGCUAAUGAUGUGAUAGCCCAGGAGUGCAAUGAAGAAUGUUCCUACUUGUGUACGAAAACACAACUCUACAUGGUUUGUGUUUGCCUUUGGGCAUACAAGUGCCGUGGGAAAUGAGCUGCCUUGGACACAGAAGUGUUGCUUGCUUCCUUGUACCCCAUUGUGGAAGCACAGAGUAAAAGGUUUCUGCUUCUGUAAAACAGCACAAGUGUCUGGAAAACCCAUGUGCAGAGACAACAGGACAACAGUGAUCACAAAGAGGGAUGAGGGUCAUUGUAUCUAA